UUCAUAUUUGUAUUCUAUUAAAUAUUUCUCACUGUUUCAUUACUUAAUCAAAAAAUGAUUUCUUCCCUUCAAACAAAGUCACCACAACUUUAUUUUGCGUUUAUAUUAUUCUCAACAACAUGCCGAAGUUUCGAGUCUGGUGUUGUUGCUU
rnacentral:ribozyme from 1 species